UGGGGAAUAUUGCACAAUGGGCGCAAGCCUGAUGCAGCCAUGCCGCGUGUGUGAAGAAGGCCUUCGGGUUGUAAAGCACUUUCAGCGGGGAGGAAGGCGAUAAGGUUAAUAACCUCAUCGAUUGACGUUACCCGCAGAAGAAGCACCGGCUAACUCCGUGCCAGCAGCCGCGGUAAUACGGAGGGUGCAAGCGUUAAUCGGAAUUACUGGGCGUAAAGCGCACGCAGGCGGUUUGUUAAGUCAGAUGUGAAAUCCCCGGGCUCAACCUGGGAACUGCAUCUGAUACUGGCAAGCUUGAGUCUCGUAGAGGGGGGUAGAAUUCCAGGUGUAGCGGUGAAAUGCGUAGAGAUCUGGAGGAAUACCGGUGGCGAAGGCGGCCCCCUGGACGAAGACUGACGCUCAGGUGCGAAAGCGUGGGGAGCAAACAGG
rnacentral:rRNA from 1 species